UGGUAGGAUAGAGGCCUACCAUGGUGGUAACGGGUAACGGGGUGUUAGGGCACGACACCGGAGAGGGAGCCUGAGAAACGGCUACCACAUCCAAGGAAGGCAGCAGGCGCGCAAAUUACCCAAUCCCGACACGGGGAGGUAGUGACAAUAAAUAACAAUACAGGGUUCUUUGAAUCUUGUAAUUGGAAUGAGUACAAUUUAAAUCUCUUAACGAGGAACAAUUGGAGGGCAAGUCUGGUGCCAGCAGCCGCGGUAAUUCCAGCUCCAAUAGCGUAUAUNAAAGUUGUUGCAGUUAAAAAGCUCGUAGUUGAAUUUCGGGAUCAAUGCGUCGGUCGUGCUUUCGGGUACGUACUGGCGUCAUUGGUUUCUCCUUUCUGACGAACCAUGAUGUCAUUAAUUUGGUGUUAUGGGGAGUUAGGACUGUUACUUUGAAAAAAUUAGAGUGUUUAAAGCAGGCAUUAGCUUGAAUACAUUAGCAUGGAAUAAUGAAAUAGGACGUUCGAUCCUAUUUUGUUGGUUUCUAGGAUCAACGUAAUGAUUAAUAGGGAUAGUUGGGGGCAUUAGUAUUCAAUUGUCAGAGGUGAAAUUCUUGGAUUUAUUGAAGACUAACUACUGCGAAAGCAUUUGCCAAGGAUGUUUUCAUUAAUCAAGAACGAAAGUUAGGGGAUCGAAGACGAUCAGAUACCGUCGUAGUCUUAACCAUAAACUAUGCCGACUAGGGAUCGGAUGAUGUUAAUUUUUUAAUGACUCAUUCGGCGCCUUACGGGAAACCAAAGUGUUUGGG
rnacentral:rRNA from 1 species